rnacentral:lncRNA from 1 species
AAAUUCUAAGUUUUCAAAGGUUUGGUAUAGAAGAACUAUACAAAUCCUUGGUAUUUCUAUUUUCUUUUCUACAUCAGUAAAAUGACCCCUUGUCUGAGGGAGGGUUGUUCUCAACCUGAAAACAAACACAGGUCAAAGUACGGUCUUUUACACAGGGCUUUGAUACAGACCAAACAGCAGGCUAUAAAGGACCCCAAAAUUAUUAGCGUACACAAUUCGAACAGGAAAACCAACGAUGUAAUUUAUAUAUCAUGUAUAUCCAAACGGGAAAAUACCAAUGAACAAACGAUAACUGCUAAACGACAGGCCCCUCAAUCAAUCAGGAUAGGUGCAUAAACAUGCAGCGGCUAUGGAUAGUUUUGUUUCGCCAGCAUACAAUAUAAUUGCAAUUGAAGGCAAAUCCUUCAGAAGUUCUUUGUACUUUAUUCUAACAAUCAACAUUUUUUCAUAGGAAAUAUAAGUAAGGGGGAAAGUAACCAAUUUUUUGUUCUUUACAGGUAUUUC